GAGGUUUGGGAGCUUUCUGCGGAACAAGAAUAAUGGAGAUUGUGAAAAAACACGACUCUGGUGGUCUUCUAUGGAAGAGAAUCAAGCUCACUUCUACUCGCAAAGCUAAUGCCAAGAAGCGCCUUCGUCGUGUUUGGCAGGUUGGCUAGUGGCUACAUGUUCAAUGUUACAAUUUCAUCUGUAACUACCCAUUUGUAUGGUUGCACGUGAUUGUUGCUGAGUGCUGACUACCUACUGCUGUUGUUAAUCUGGAAUUGGCCCUCUUAUCUGUAAUUGGCAGUCUUUUUGUUGGUAUGGUAGUACGUAAAACAACCAUUGCUUAAAAUUUUGAUGCUUGUCUGCAUGUAUUGGUUUGUUUGCUAAGAAUGUAAGUGACAUGCAUCUAUGGUGCAUGAAGCUAUAAAGGUUGGAUAUCUGGUGUUGUUUUGUACAGUGAAUUGAGUAGCCUGAUACAAUUGUAACCUGUACUUCUGUAAUUGAUUUGUUAACACC